AUCAGAUUUCGCUUCAAAAAUUUUGGACCUUUGUUACUAGGUACAUAAACAUCUGAGGUGUUUAUUGGAGCUCUUUGCCUAGAACUGAUAAUUGGAUUCAUGGUAUUCUGGAGAACAAGGAAGAAAACUGAAGCCCAGAAAGCUUAAUAUAUUACCCAAAGAGUUAGUCCACAUUGAACUGGGAGUUAAUCCUUGUCUGUCUGGCUGGAAAGCUUUUGCUCUGUAUCUUGGAUGAAUAAACUAAACCUUAGGGAAUCUUCCUAGAAGAAACCAUAUAACGCCUCCUGUACGAGAAGUUAAAUUACAACACAAAGAUUGCUUGGUGAGCAUGUGAUCAAAACAGGGCAAGAUGAAGACCUUUAGAGGCCACAAGCAUUUUAGUGUGCCUCCCAACUUCCCUUAUAUUAUUCAAAAUAUAAACAAUAAAAUCUACAAAGAUGUGAAAGAAGUCCA
rnacentral:lncRNA from 1 species